AGCAGCCGCGGUAAUUCCAGCUCCAAUAGCGUAUAUUAAAGUUGUUGCAGUUAAAAAGCUCGUAGUUGAAUUUCGGGAUUUAUCCGUCGGUCGGGCUUUUGGGUCUGUACUGGCGUGAUGAAUUCCUACCUUCUGAAUAACCAGCAUGCCAUUAAUUUGGUGCGCCGGGGAAGCAGGACUGUUACCUUGAAAAAUUAGAGUGCUUAAAGCAGGCUAUUGCCUGAAUACAUUAGCAUGGAAUAAUGAAAUAGGACGGCAUGGUUCUAUUUUGUUGGUUUCUAGGAUCACCGUAAUGAUUAAUAGGGAUAGUUGGGGGCAUUAGUAUUCAAUUGUCAGAGGUGAAAUUCUUGGAUUUAUUGAAGACUAACUUCUGCGAAAGCAUUUGCCAAGGAUGUUUUCAUUAAUCAAGAACGAAAGUUAGGGGAUCGAAGACGAUCAGAUACCGUCGUAGUCUUAACCAUAAACUAUGCCGACUAGGGAUCGGACGAUGUUAAUUUUUAAU
rnacentral:rRNA from 1 species